rnacentral:tRNA from 1 species
GUCAGGAUAGCUCUGCUGGUAGAGCAGAGGACUGAAAAUCCUCGUGUCACCAAUUGAAAUUUGGUUCUUGGCA